rnacentral:misc_RNA from 1 species
GUGAAUCAUCGAAUUUUUGAACGCAAAUUGCACUCUCUGGUAUUCCGGAGAGUAUGCCUGUUUGAGGGUCAGUUAAAUUAAAAUCGGUGUUUUGUUGCGGCUUUGGGUAGUGACGAAUCGGGUUUGGGUAGCUUUACUUUCGGUUAAGGGACCUAAAAUUUUGCAUGAUUUUUGAAAGUAUUUUAAUUAAUUUUGUACGUUUGUAAUAUAUGAAAUAAGGUGUGCUC